AAUAAUCUCCAGUAAAUUUAGCGUUCAUUACUUUUCGCAAGUCAUAUUCUUGCACAUCAGAAUUAGGAGCGUUCGCGGUAGAAGAAAAACUGGGAAAUUCACCAAAAGAAGAGAAGAAUGAACGAUGGAAGAAUAAAAAUAAGACCAGUGUUAAAGCAAUUAUCCCAACAGUUCGAAUGGUUUUCUGUCGGAAUAUGGGAUUUCCGCUGGAUUUAGGCUGGAAUCGAUUCGGCGUAAUACUAAAAGGGCCACCAUCUCUUCCAAAGUCUCUAUUUGCUUUCAUUGUGGAAGAGAUUAACAAUAAAUAGCUUUAUAAAGCAGUAGUGGCUACUUUACCAAAGGUACGGGGUUGGUUUAGUUUAAAGUGGUUGGUAGUAUAUAAAUAUAACGAACGCGAAGGCUAAGCAAAAAUACCAAAAUCAAGAAUUUUAGAAAAAAUUGGAGACUGUGAAUUUAAAGAAUUAAUUUAAGCUUAUUAAUACUUAAACAGUACUGUUUUUACCAAUGCACGAAAAAUAAAAAAGGCACGUGCCAGGUUUU